GACGAACCGUGCGAACGUUGUUCGGAAUCACUGGGCUUAAAGGGCGCGUAGGCGGGCGGUCAAGUCAGGGGUGAAAUCCCACGGCUCAACCGUGGAAGUGCCUUUGAUACUGGCCGUCUCGAGGGAGGUAGGGCGUGCGGAACUUCCGGUGGAGCGGUGAAAUGCGUAGAUAUCGGAAGGAACACCGGUGGCGAAGGCGGCAUCCUGGCCCUGACCUGACGCUGAGGCGCGAGAGCGUGGG
rnacentral:rRNA from 1 species